rnacentral:misc_RNA from 1 species
GUGAAUCAUCAAAUUUUUGAACGCAAAUUGCACUUUCUGGUAUUCCGGAGAGUAUGCCUGCUUGAGGGUCAGUUUAAUAAAAAUCGGUGGUGGUGCUUCUUUUCGGUGUUGCGCGUCGGAAUUGAGUUGUCUUACCUUUGGGUAAGUUGCUUAAAAUUUUGCAUGAAUUUCGAAGGUAUUUAAAUUUCUUACUUACGUUUGAUAUAUCG